AACAGGAAGAAGCUUGCUUCUUUGCUGACGAGUGGCGGACGGGUGAGUAAUGUCUGGGAAACUGCCUGAUGGAGGGGGAUAACUACUGGAAACGGUAGCUAAUACCGCAUAACGUCGCAAGACCAAAGAGGGGGACCUUCGGGCCUCUUGCCAUCGGAUGUGCCCAGAUGGGAUUAGCUAGUAGGUGGGGUAACGGCUCACCUAGGCGACGAUCCCUAGCUGGUCUGAGAGGAUGACCAGCCACACUGGAACUGAGACACGGUCCAGACUCCUACGGGAGGCAGCAGUGGGGAAUAUUGCACAAUGGGCGCAAGCCUGAUGCAGCCAUGCCGCGUGUAUGAAGAAGGCCUUCGGGUUGUAAAGUACUUUCAGCGGGGAGGAAGGGAGUAAAGUUAAUACCUUUGCUCAUUGACGUUACCCGCAGAAGAGGCACCGGCUAACUCCGUGCCAGCAGCCGCGGUAAUACGGAGGGUGCAAGCGUUAAUCGGAAUUACUGGGCGUAAAGCGCACGCAGGCGGUUUGUUAAGUCAGAUGUGAAAUCCCCGGGCUCAACCUGGGAACUGCAUCUGAUACUGGCAAGCUUGAGUCUCGUAGAGGGGGGUAGAAUUCCAGGUGUAGCGGUGAAAUGCGCAGAGAUCUGGAGGAAUACCGGUGGCGAAGGCGGCC
rnacentral:rRNA from 1 species